CUGGUGUAGGAGUGGAGCAUUAACAUCACUACAUACACACAAACUACUGGGAAGGAGCUCCCUCUGAAAACCCACAAUGGACAGCUACCAUGGUAACAUCAAAUUUGAUCUGAUUCCUUCUGUAUCUGAGUGUAGAUCAGCCUUUAUGAAAGCUGUGUGCUGGCAGUCUGAUUAUCUAUCUGUGAAAUGAGCCACAAGUGAAGCCGGCCUCUUCAGCUUCAGGAGAUGUCAUCGUUCCAGUUAUGGUUCAGUCAUUCUGAAGUAGCCAUUGCUAAAGGAGGAAGUAACAAGUGGCCAGCAAGAUUGGUCCAAAUCCCGACCUAGCUGAGAACGUGUCCAGUGAGGAGAAGUUCAGAUGCUGCCAGUCUUGAGAGGAUACGAACUCACCUCAGGACUGACCCUGGCUUCACAGUGCUCCAUUUCCUAUUCUUCUAACCAGAGACCAAGGGAUACCUUCACCAUCAAACACCACUUCCAGUGUUUGGUGCCUGUGGGCAGCUCAUCCUGAGACAGAAAUGAGCAGUGGCCCUGUGCAGUGUGUGCGAGCCAGUGCGGGGCACAGGACUACCCUCACUAGUGAUUUGACUCCAUCACAGUCAUGGGAGCACCUGUUGUUAACCUGUGCCUUGACAUCGCUAGCUUUCCUCCGGUUCUUCGAGGGAGUCAGCGGUCACUGAUCGGACCCCAGCUCCAAGACUGGACCGCCGUAAUGUCAGCUCCAGUGCAGAAAUCUGCCGCAGUUCUCUGCGGCACACUUUGACAGGCUUGACCCCCUGAAGUUGUG
rnacentral:lncRNA from 1 species